CAAUAUAAUUCCCACUCAUUAUCUUUGUUGCUUAAAGCUUGCCUCCUUCCUUAUCCUCCUCACUCACUCUCUCUUUCAUACUCUCUCUCCUCACUUGCAUCUAAAAAACACAUCGAAUUUCAUAAACCACUUUCAUUGCAGCUCACCAUAUAUAUAAAAGUAAAGAUCUAGUGAGAAGGAUAGAGAGACUCAUAGAUAUAUAGCUUAUACUAUAAAAGAUUCAUACAUCACCAAUUGGAAAGAUUUUGAUUGAUCAAGAAAAACACACAAGUGUGUGUUGUGUGUUGUUUUAGUCCGCUCGUUGCAAGAAAAACGGCUAUUUUCGACUAUCAGUUUACAUCUUCUAUCAACAUAUAAUGGAAGGAGGUGAUGAUCAUCUCCACCGGCCGAAUUUCCCGUUCCAAUUACUCGAAAAGAAAGAAGAUGAGGCGUGUUCAAGCUCGGGAUACCCUCCUAACCACAAUUCUUUGUCGAUAACCACCACCGAUACAAACACGAAUCUCAGCCGAUCCACUUCGAAUCUCCAAGUGGUAUCGGCCGAGCCAGCGAAGAAACAGCCGCCUAAACGCACCUCGACUAAAGAUCGGCAUACGAAAGUCGACGGCCGUGGCCGUCGAAUUCGCAUGCCCGCGUUAUGCGCGGCUAGGGUUUUCCAGCUCACGCGAGAGCUAGGUCACAAAUCAGACGGCGAAACAAUUGAAUGGCUUCUACAACAAGCCGAGCCAGCCGUUAUAGCCGCGACUGGUACCGGUACAAUCCCCGCAAACUUUACUUCACUCAAUAUAUCGCUUCGGAGCUCCGGGUCAAGCAUGUCCGUACCGUCACAGCUUCGGUCCACUUACUUCAAUCCCAAUUUCUCAAUGCCGCAAAGAAGAAGCUUAUUCCCAGGAAUCGGAUCAUCAUCCGAAAACAACGCGUCAAAUCUCCUUAGUUUUCAGUCACAUAAUCAGAGCCCUAGCCACAUGUUUCAACCUAAAAACGAAACGACGUCGUUCGAGUUAUCGGAGACGGAGGAGAAUUUAAAUCGGAAGCGUAGGACCGAGCAGGAUUUAUCGCAAAUGGGGACUUAUUUAAUGCAAUCGAGCACAGGCUCAUUGCCAGCGAGCCACAGCUCAGUUCCAGCUAAUUUCUGGAUGGUGGCUAAUUCGGGGAAUCAAGUCAUGAGUGGCGACCCGGUUUGGACCUUUCCAACCGUUAAUAAUACCGCUGCUGCGGCUUUAUAUAGAGGAACCGUUUCGAGUGGCUUGCAUUUCAUGAAUUUUCCUACUCCCGUGGCGCUUAUGCCUAGUCAGCAGCUAGGUGCCACGAGUAUUAAUAGCGGUGGUGGUGGUGGUGGCGGCGCUAAUGGUGGCUUUAGCGAAGCACAAUUGAGUAUGCUUGCUGGUUUAACACCGUACCGACCUAUAUUCGGGCCCGGGCUUACGGACUCGCAAGCCAGCGGGUCUCAUUCGCAUCACGGUGGUGAUCACGGCGGAGAUGAUCGACAUGAUACAAAUAGUCACGACCAUUCCUGAUUAAUCAUCGAUCAUUUCUCUACUACACUUGUGUGUCGUUUGAUUUGUAACGCACGUGAGGUUUAACCUAAUGGUGAUAUCUUCUGCAUAUAUAUAGCUACCUAUCUAAGUUCAUCACAUACUUACAAGGUUGAGCUCUACUAUGGUGACAUCUACACACUUGAAUGUAGACAUGAAACUUGUGUGAGUGCAUUAUUGUUCAAACACUGUAGGAGGGAAUCUUAUCGCAACGAAUGCCAGCCCUCAACUAUGGAUAUCUGAGUACAUAUAUACAUAUCAUAUACAUGUAGACAGUGAGCAACUGUAUAAUAAUAUGUACAGUGUGAGGAAGAGUAAGGGCUCCAUUCUGGUAAUUAAAUUUUAGAAAAUUUUAUAAAAUUAUCCAUUUUUACAAAUUUUUCCAAAAAUACG